CCUUGUUGAAGUUGUACUGAAGAUUCCAUGGAGCCAAAAGACAGCAGUGAUUCCUUUAGUGAUAGUGAAAGUUGUCAUACACAGUAACCCUCCUCUC